GACGAACGCUGGCGGCGUGCUUAACACAUGCAAGUCGAACGGCAAGGCCCUGCUUUUGUGGGGUGAUGGAGUGGCGAAGGGGUGAGUAAGACGUGAGUAACCUGCCCUUGACUUUGGGAUAAGUUAAGGAAACUGGGGCUAAUACCGGAUAGGAGCUCCCGCUGCAUGGUGGGGGUUGGAAAGUUUCGGCGGGUGGGGAUGGACUCGCGGCUUAUCAGCUUGUUGGUGGGGUAGGGGCUUACCAAGGCAUUGACCGGUAGCCGGCCUGAGAGGGUGAACGGCCUCAUUGGUACUACGAUACGGACCAGACUCCUACGGUAGGCAGCAGUGGGGAAUAUUGCACAAUGGUCGGAAGCCUGAUGCAGCAACGCCGCGUUCGUGAUGACGGCCUUCGGGUUGUAAACCGCUUUCGCCUGUGACGAAGCGUGAGUGACGGUAAUGAGUAAAGAAGCACCGGCUAACUACGUG
rnacentral:rRNA from 1 species